UUAAUUUUUUCGUCCUAAAAUCAAAAGUCAAACAAAAAGCUGGAUCUAGAAAAUAUUUUUUUCUAAAAACUGAUUUUUUUCGUAGUACAAAAUUGAAAGCAUCACUAAACCUACUUUUAGUAGCUUUUGGAUAGAACUGUGAAAACAUAUAUCAAAGAUCUUUUAACGGAUUUUGUAAAACUGAUGUGAGCUGUGAUCUAUUAAACCUACGUAGGUCCGAGGAGGCCCUCGCUCAUUUCUCUUUUGUAAGUAAUCGAGUCUAGAUUUUUACUAUAAAGUCCACUGCUCAGCGCCACUCAAAUGUCUUUGGUGUAGCAUUUUUGUGUCCAUUCUUGCAAUUAUGUCCCCACUCUGAUUUUGUUCUGGGUCUGCACAUGGUUGUUGAGGUAUUUAAUUUGAGAGACAAUAUAAUUAAAAUAUAAAACGAAAGGUACAUCUGUUUUAACUGCAUACAAAUAAAGUUAUAACUCACGAGAGAUAAUGUUUUUUAGUUUAUCAAAGUGGGUGAAUAAGAGAAAUAAAAAAAAUACACGCGAAAAGAGACGUACGCACGUGUAUUUUGACGAGAAUACGCGAUGGACAAUAAAAGUAAAGAAAAUCGCAAAUAAUUAAUAAAAGGCGCAC
rnacentral:lncRNA from 1 species